GAUCAUGGCUCAGGAUGAACGCUAGCGACAGGCUUAACACAUGCAAGUCGAGGGGCAUCAUGAGGUAGCAAUACCUUGAUGGCGACCGGCGCACGGGUGAGUAACGCGUAUGCAACCUGCCCGAUACCGGGGUAUAGCCCAUGGAAACGUGGAUUAACACCCCAUAGUACUUUUAUCCUGCAUGGGAUGUGAGUUAAAUGUUUAAGGUACCGGAUGGGCAUGCGUCCUAUUAGUUAGUUGGG
rnacentral:rRNA from 1 species